CUACGGGGGGCUGCAGUGGGGAAUAUUGCACAAUGGGGGAAACCCUGAUGCAGCGACGCCGCGUGAGUGAAGAAGUAUUUCGGUAUGUAAAGCUCUAUCAGCAGGGAAGAUAAUGACGGUACCUGACUAAGAAGCCCCGGCUAACUACGUGCCAGCAGCCGCGGUAAUACGUAGGGGGCAAGCGUUAUCCGGAUUUACUGGGUGUAAAGGGAGCGCAGGUGGCUAGGCAAGUCAGAUGUGAAAGCCCGGGGCUCAACCCCGGGACUGCAUUUGAAACUGCCAGGCUGGAGUGCAGGAGAGGCAAGCGGAAUUCCUAGUGUAGCGGUGAAAUGCGUAGAUAUUAGGAGGAACACCAGUGGCGAAGGCGGCUUGCUGGACUGUAACUGACACUGAGGCUCGAAAGCGUGGGGAGCAAACAGGAUUAGAUACCCGAGUAGUC
rnacentral:rRNA from 1 species